rnacentral:lncRNA from 1 species
ACUUCCGGCCUCAGUUUCCGUUGAACGGCGGCAGGUAGUCGGUGUGGACCGUUGCUGCCCGCAGACGCCAGCGAAGGAAGAAGGGUCUUUGAGGCUCAGAGCCACCGAGACCCCAGCUCCUCUUAGCCGACUGGCCCCCCACUAAUCUAUGCGUCGAGGUCCGCGUGCCCCUCCCCUGGGAAAAGCUGAAGUGAGGACGCCUGAAAGAACCGCUGCUGGGCAUGGGACCUUUGAAGAAUAUGCAGAAUGUGGAAAUACCACACCUCUGAGGACAGCAAUGCUUGGCUCCUUGCCUAAGGAGAGAAGCAGGUUGUGUACCGAACAAAGAAGUGCAGAAAACUAAAAGAGGACAUGCUAAGGAAAAGGAUUCAGAAAGUUGUACAGUGAUGCCUUGAAUUCACUACGAGUCAGUGGAGUAUGAAUUACACAGACAAGCAUGAUCACAUAUUUGAUGGAAACUUCAUGUGAUGCAGAUAACUUGGUAAUGGUGGAAAUGUGGAAAAAAACAGCUUGCAGGAAGAUUGCUAUUUCUGUGUCAAGUAUUUUCUGUAUAAAGUAUUUUCAGUUUCAAAACUGAAGCCAUUUGCCAUACAGAAAAAAAAAGUGGAAAAAUU